AGGCUGUGGCUCUAAAAACAGAAGUUUAAAUCUUCUUGCAAACCGAGGCGUGUUUUGAACA
rnacentral:tRNA from 1 species